AGCAGCCGCGGUAAUUCCAGCUCCAAUAGCGUAUAUUAAAGUUGUUGCAGUUAAAAAGCUCGUAGUUGAAUUUCGGGGUUAGCAGGUCGGUCGUGCCAUCGGUAUGAACUGGUCUCGCUGAUCCCUCCCUCUUGACGAACUGUGAUGCCAUUAAUUUGGUGUCGCAGGGAAUCAGGACUGUUACUUUGAAAAAAUUAGAGUGUUUAAAGCAGGCUCACGCUUGAAUACAUUAGCAUGGAAUAAUGAAAUAGGACGUUUGAUCCUAUUUUGUUGGCUUCUAGGAUUGACGUAAUGAUUAAUAGGGAUAGUUGGGGGCAUUAGUAUUCAAUUGCCAGAGGUGAAAUUCUUGGAUUUAUUGAAGACUAACUACUGCGAAAGCAUUUGCCAAGGAUGUUUUCAUUAAUCAAGAACGAAAGUUAGGGGAUCGAAGACGAUCAGAUACCGUCGUAGUCUUAACCAUAAACUAUGCCGACUAGGGAUCGGAUGAUGUUAAUUUUUUAAUGACUCA
rnacentral:rRNA from 1 species